AAAUCCUGUGGCGAGAGGAUUCAGUCUGGAAGAGCGGUCGCGCUGUUCGGAAACAAUCGAGAAGGGCUUCCCUGGAACGGGGGCCGUCCGAGCGCGUUGGACAGCCGAGCCAGACGCAGUUGACUCUCGCCCGAAGGACGCCGCAGCCGGUCGGGCAGCGCAAGCGUGACGGCCUGAGGGGCGGACGACGGCAGGUGGCCGGUGGCGCGCCUCGUUGCGCGUCGCCGGUUGUUAGCCGGUUCCGCCAGUGGCCCGUCGCUCGACCGAGGUGUCGCUAGGCCCAUACUGGGCCCCAUCGCCUCCUCGCCCCACAAGGGGACGAUACGGGACAGGACGUCGCAGGAGAAGGCUGCCGUCCCGCCGCACUCCGAGCGAGUGGGCGGGCGAGCAGAUCGGCUCCGUUGGCGACGGCGGACCCGUCGGAGGCCGGAGGCUGGCGGUGAGUAGGUCGGUCACCCACCCGACCCGUCUUGAAACACGGACCAAGGAGUCUAACAUGUGCGCGAGUCAAUGGGUCUUGAACAGGCCCAGAGGCGCAAUGAAAGCGAAGGUCGGCCGAGCGCCGUACCGAGUUGGGAUCCCGUUCCUUUUAAAUGGUUCGGGCGCACCAACGACCCGUCCUGUGCGGUUCGCCGCUUGGGCGGAGUUUGAGCGUACACGUUGGGACCCGAAAGAUGGUGAACUAUGCCCGGACAGGACGAGGCCAGAGGAAACUCUGGUGGAGGUCCGCAGCGGUUCUGACGUGCAAAUC
rnacentral:rRNA from 1 species